UGUAUUUAUUAGAUAAAAAACCAAUGCCCUCCGGGGCUCUUUGGUGAUUCAUGAUAACUUAACGGAUCGCAUGGCCUUGCGCCGGCGACGGUUCAUUCAAAUUUCUGCCCUAUCAACUUUCGAUGGUAAGGUAUUGGCUUACCAUGGUUUCAACGGGUAACGGGGAAUUAGGGUUCGAUUCCGGAGAGGGAGCCUGAGAAACGGCUACCACAUCCAAGGAAGGCAGCAGGCGCGCAAAUUACCCAAUCCCGACGCGGGGAGGUAGUGACAAUAAAUACUGAUACAGGGCUCUUUUGGGUCUUGUAAUCGGAAUGAGUACAAUUUAAACCCCUUAACGAGGAACAAUUGGAGGGCAAGUCUGGUGCCAGCAGCCGCGGUAAUUCCAGCUCCAAUAGCGUAUAUUAAAGUUGUUGCAGUUAAAAAGCUCGUAGUUGAACCUUGGGCCUGGCUGGCCGGUCCGCCUCACCGCGUGCACUGGUCCGGCCGGGCCUUUCCUUCUGGAGAGCCCCAUGCCCUUCACUGUGGCGUGCGGGGGGACCAG
rnacentral:rRNA from 1 species